rnacentral:rRNA from 1 species
UACGGGGGGAGCAAGCGUUGUUCGGAUUUACUGGGCGUAAAGGGCGCGUAGGCGGCCACCGCAAGUCGGUUGUGAAAUCUCUGGGCUUAACCCAGAAAGGUCAACCGAUACUGCGGGGCUAGAGUGCAGAAGGGGCAACUGGAAUUCUCGGUGUAGCGGUGAAAUGCGUAGAUAUCGAGAGGAACACCUGCGGCGAAGGCGGGUUGCUGGGCUGACACUGACGCUGAAGCGCGAAAGCUAGGGGGAGCGAACGGG